AGUCGCGGCGAUAGCACGUUGAAUACAUCAGUUUCCAAUAGAUUACGAAGUUAAGCAACGUCCCGCGUGGUUAGUAUCCGGAUGGGUGACCAUCUGGGCAAUCGUGUGUUGUUGACUU
rnacentral:rRNA from 1 species